rnacentral:antisense_RNA from 1 species
UGCCAGGGUUCACCACCAUCUUAGGAAUAUCAUGAAUAAAGCGUUAGAUUGGGUGUGCCCUAACUGAUGGUCACAAGCAUGAUACUAAUUAUCAGGGUGAACAAAGCAGGGGAGUAACAGCAUCAGUAACUGUGAAACUCUAGGAGUUUGUCUUCAUUCUUUCAGUGAUAGAAUAUCUAGCAUUUGUAUUUCGUACAUCAUACACUUGAGUUAAUAUCUGUGGAAAGGAUAAAUACAUAAGGAAAAGAGAUGCAGGAAGCUGCAGAGACACUGGCCAUUUAUCUGAGAAGUGCCCAAUGAGGCAUCACCAGAUAAGCACACGUUGGGUCGUUCUCCUGCUUCAGUAAGGUCUGUGGCGCUGACAUUAUCAAUGCUAUGGACGCCUCAAGGCUCUCAUAAAAAUACCUGGCUUCAGCAAUACGCAUGCAGUUAUCUCAGUUUAAAGGAAACGUGUUCUGCUCCCUGCUUAAUAAGAAAUCCUGCUUACUUCUCCAGCUUUUGAAGCACAGAUUAUUUUUCCUCUCUUCAUCAUAUAAAAAUGGAAAUUAUCAAAACAAAACAUCAUCAAAACAAAACAUCAUCAAAAACAGGUUGCUCUCUGAGUAAAGGUUUUAUCUUUGUUUGGGAUAGAAUCUCAUUCUGUCACCCAGGCCAGAGAGCACUGACAUUAUCAUGGCUCACUGCAACCUCAAACUCCCAAGCUCAAGCGAUCCUCCCACCUCAGCCUCCCAAGUAGCUGGGACCACAG